rnacentral:lncRNA from 1 species
UCAUUAAAGUAAUUUACAUUUUUUUUUAUGUUUUUAGAGUUAUCAUAAAUGAGCAAUAAACAGAACGGAAAUCCCUGUAGUCAUUGUAUUAAUUAUGGAUGCACGUUUAUUGAUAUGACGAUAACUUUUCAAUAAGUUAAACAUAAUUUAGUCUCUAUAUGGAUUAAUUUGAAAUAUAGACUCGAACGUAGCAUGAACGCGGAGGAUAUUAAAUCGUUUACAAGUGGGUUUUAUAGCAAACGUAUCAGAAUGAUCAAACCGAUGAUAAUGUUAUUAGGCAUUUUUUUAAUAUUAAACCAAUAAAAGAAUAGUGGAUAAUAGUACGUUUAUAAAAGAAUUACACGCACAUAAGUUUGAUAAUUCAUGGAAUACAGAUAAAUUGUCAACUGAUCAAUUGGGGACGUUGGCACUUUCCUAUCGUAUAGAAAAUAUUCAGAAGUGAACAAUAUAUUUUAAGUUGAUACAUGGAAUAAACCGUAUUUAGAAUCAAACACAUGAGUUCAAACGAUUUCAUCGGUUAUAUUAUCGAAGGCGAUCUGCAUAAUGGAUUGCGUUACAUGUCUAUUGCCGGAUGUGUCCUCUCAUAUAUAACAAUAUUUUACAAUAUCGUAAUCUUGAUCGUUCUUUUCCGUCCGAAUCUCCGUUCUCCGACUACUGUGCUCAUGCAAGGACUCGCCAUUGCUGAUUUACUGACCGGAUUUUGUUCCUAUGGAUUGGAGCCUAUUUUCCAGAUGAAAUAUAUAACAGUUAAUGAUAAUUUGGAUUCCUCAACAUUAACCCUAAAAUAUCCUUAUUGUGCCUUGUAUGUGAACAUUAGUCAAAUGGUAGAUCUAUUUCACUUAGUUUCUGUGCUACUUACUACAUGUUUAGGAAUACAAAAAGUUUUAGCCCUGAAGUUCCCAUUCUGGGUGCGGAAUAAUAUCAAAAUAAACUUUGCAAUGAUAUGCUGCCUUGCGUGUCUUGGGAUAUCGUUUAUAAUUCACAUUCCAAGGCAUUUGGCUGUAGGAUUCACCAACAGACAAAACAUAUCAUAUAAAUAUUUCACACAAAACAACGUUCAAGAAGAAAAAUUUUUGAACACGUGUUCACCUAGAAUUGUGUCAAGACCUGCAUUUUUGUAUGCAGCCAGGUACUAUCCUCUCGUGUCGGCUGUAUUGCUACUUAUUUUAUCUGCGAUAAUGUGUCUUAGUGUCAUUUACAUAGUAUAUCGGCUAUGUCAUAAAACAUUUCGAAAGAAAAAUAUAGUUCAAAGGUCUCGCGAGAAACGUUCGGUAUUAAUGAUUACAGCUGUUCUUAUUAUUUUUCUUAUUUCGGAAAUUCCUAGACUCUCCCUCUAUGGAUACCUAUUUUUCGGUACCUAUCUAGAUAAUAUGAUUGGAGAAGACGAUGCCUUGUCCUUUGUGGUGACGGAUUAUAGAGCAACAUUGUCAGUUUCAAUGAAAGUUGAUGCUGACAUAUCUUUCACUCAAUCUUUGCUCAUAAUAGAAAGUUUAAAACUAUUCAGUCUUAUAGGAUGUAUGUCGAAUUUUGUUAUUUACUUCACUAUGAGCAGACAGCUGAGAACCGAAUUAAAAGUGUGUUUACCGUACAAAAGCAAAUGACAGCAGUACAAAUAUUCCAACACUUUCGUAUUUUAUCACUUAUGUAUAUGUAGUUUUUGGAAAUAUAUUUCUUUAAAGUGUUAAUGUAAGUUUUUUUUUAUACAUAUACAAACUUCGUGUGCAUUUAAAUAUAAGGUUUCUUUAAUACAGGUCAGUUUUAAACACUCGUGCCAUAUUCAGUAACAUAUAUAUCAUUUCUAAGCAGACAAUGUUGUAUUGUAAGUUUAUUCUAAAUUUGAAAAGUUGCUUUACAGAUACAUAUGUCGUGUUCAUUAUUUUUACAAUACGAAGCGAAUUGAUUUGUUUAAUGACAAAACAUACGUAUUGAUGUAAACUAUCUGUCGAUACUGACUCUGUGUGUGCAUGGUGAUAACAUUACUUUCUUUCAUUAAAAUAUAAAAAUACUUAUUCAUUUGUAUUAGUUAUGGUCUACAUAUGAAUAAUAAACAAUCUCGUUAUUUUAGUUUGUUCAAAUAUUCAGAAUCAUUGAUCACAUAGAAAAGGUGCAGAAAGUGAAAUCACACAAAUACUGUACCCCGAGGAAACUUUAGUAUAGUACGAAAUGUAACUAUCAAGU